rfam:Populus trichocarpa scaffold_4_contig_377, whole genome shotgun sequence.
UCUAGAACUCAAGAUAUGGGCUGCACAUUGCAUAAUGUCUGGGUUGUAGGACAUAUUCAGACUUCUCUCUUGUUGCUAAGAUUUGAACUUCAAAACAGCAGAAUUGAGUCUUGGACUCUUCAUGAAUGUUUUAGGCCUAUGUUUUAGCUUUCUAGC